CAAAUAGGGUCCAGAUUCUCCGUAAGGGUCGCCACUAUGAGGAGCAAAGCACAGCUGACAUACAAGAAUUGAAUCAAUGUCACAUGUCUAACAAGCAAUAACGUCAAGUGAAAACUAUGUGUGAAUUGAGAACAAACAAAACUGGUAUCCCAAAUUGACAAUAUUAUUUUCCUGUUUGGCCUCAAAGCUCAAUGCUUGAUCCCUGUCAAAUUUGAGUGGCUUACAUAGUGUCUGGGAUCAAGAGUUGGUUGAGUUUUAAGGCCAAACGUGAAAACAAGAUUAAUAACUGCAAACAAAAUUUGACUUCAUUAUGUUACCGUUGUUUUUGUUCUCAUUUCACAAAUAGUUUUCAUAAAACACUAUUGCUUAUUUGUCAGGUGGCAUGGCUUCAAUUUUGUUAUUUCAUUCCUACUCAGCCCUACGCAGAGGCGCCCCUUACGGAUAAUUUGGCCCCUAUUUGAAGCAGGUUGAACCAUUGUUAUCAUAGAGCAGGACUCCAUUUUACCUUCUACUUUCUUUUGAGAUUUGAUUGAGUUUGUUGUUAAACGUGCACCAUUUCGCUUUACUUUGAGUUUCCUAUGAUUAGCACAACCAAAAUAGGAAGGUGUCAUUACACUCUUAGUUGUAACUUAGAUUCAUUUUUUCACCGUUUCUCUUUUUAAAUGUUAAAAAGAAGUGCAUUGUCGGUCGAAUUUGUCGAAAACUUCAAAGAAGUGUACCCAUGUAUGGUACGCUCGGAAGCCUCUUAAUUCCAUAAGUACAGGGGAUCCUCCUCCUCAGUCAUAAUAGGAAUCGCCACCAAACAAGUUUAGCCAUGUUCGUCAAGUGGAGUCCACUAUUCUUUGCCACAACUUUAAUGUUGUUGGUGUUGAAUCCAUCUGAAACUGAAGCCAAACGACCUGCAUCCCGGAAGCGUUAUGACAUGUUUUGGUACGGACCCGUGUCUAAUCCGGACGAUUGUUUGGCACAUGAUCGGUCCAGGGAUCUGGUGUUGAAGAGAAAAAUGUUCCAAGAUCCAUCUGACUUGUGUACUCAGAGAGAUGAAAGGAUGUGUGUCUGCCUAAGAAAAGUUAACCGAUUCAAACGCCGUCAAGAGCUUUACCAGGAUUUGGAACAUGAUUUUUAUUUCAGUUGUUCAACGUGCCAUUACACUUCAAAUUUUUCGAACAAGCAGUUUUUCAUUACAUUUGAGUAAUCAAUGAAUGCAUUUAUUUGUGAAAAAUCAUGACUGAAGAAAUAAAGCGAUGGGGGUAUCAUAUACCGAAGAUAAUUAUCAUCAAAAUUGA